rnacentral:rRNA from 1 species
UACGGAGGGUGCAAGCGUUGCUCGGAAUUACUGGGCGUAAAGCGUGCGCAGGCGGCGUGACAAGUCAGGCGUGAAAGACCAGGGCUUAACCCUGGGAGGUCGCUUGAAACUGUCAUGCUUGAGUACGGGAGAGGGGUGUGGAAUUCCCAGUGUAGGAGUGAAAUCCGUAGAUAUUGGGAGGAACACCAGUGGCGAAGGCGACACCCUGGCCCGAGACUGACGCUCAGGCACGAAAGCGUGGGUAGCAAAC